AUUGAACGCUGGCGGCAGGCUUAACACAUGCAAGUCGAGCGGAGAUGAGGUGCUUGCACCUUAUCUUAGCGGCGGACGGGUGAGUAAUGCUUAGGAAUCUGCCUAUUAGUGGGGGACAACAUUCCGAAAGGAAUGCUAAUACCGCAUACGUCCUACGGGAGAAAGCAGGGGAUCUUCGGACCUUGCGCUAUAGAUGAGCCUAAGUCGGAUUAGCUAGUUGGUGGGGUAAAGGCCUACCAAGGCGACGAUCUGUAGCGGGUCUGAGAGGAUGAUCCGCCACACUGGGACUGAGACACGGCCCAGACUCCUACGGGAGGCAGCAGUGGGGAAUAUUGGACAAUGGGGGAACCCUGAUCCAGCCAUGCCGCGUGUGUGAAGAAGGCCUUUUGGUUGUAAAGCACUUUAAGCGAGGAGGAGGCUACCUGGAUUAAUACUCUAGGAUAGUGGACGUUACUCGCAGAAUAAGCACCGGCUAACUCUGUGCCAGCCGCCGCGGUAAGAC
rnacentral:rRNA from 1 species